UAUCCUCCAUUAGGCAAUCAUUGUGCUCUGACUUUUGGGUUAUUUAGUGAAAAAUCGUAACCAGCAUGAGAGAUAGGAGGAACGCCUUAAAGUGUAUUUAACCUCUGUUAAGUAAGAGGUCAGGUCAGCUUUGAGUGGUGGGGACAGCACAAUCUCACAGAGAAUCGUUCAGUUGAGCCACACAUACGCUGUGUAUAUCUGGCUUUGUGGGGAUUGUGCUCUACUCUGCCUGGAACAGGAAAGAGACCAGAAGUGAACGUGUAUUUGUGUGUGAGGGAGUGGCACAGUGGAGGAGCCAGGACUUGCCGCUGGAAAGGGAGGGAGAACCAGAGAGAGAGGGAUGUAAAGGGGGAGGAGGGGCAGGUCAAGUCGCCCAGUUACACAGGCGGAGAGAGGAAAGCCCUCCCACAGGAAACCACAGCUCAACUCGGCAUGGCCUUUUAAGAUCACUGAAACUCCACCUGAUGUGGUGGAAGUUGUCGAACCAGAUCAGAACGCCUUCGAGGACCACUUUCAGGCACGGGCUGAGAAGGAUGUGGAGGUUUUUGACCAGGUGAGACUAAAUAUCAACAAGGCGCAGGAGAAACAGGACAGCUACUGGAGGAGAAUCAAUAAGGGGACCAAGUUCUACGACAUCUGGGUGGAUUACUUGAUUUGAAAGAAGGACGAAAGGAAGGCGAGACCUGGGAAACCUCGCUGCUCUUUUCGCUCUUAGCUGGGGUCACCAUACAUUAAGGGUACCUUGGUGGAAGCCAACAAUCUUCUCUAGUUGGAGCAGUUGGACGGUCGACCACUGAAAGCCCCGACGCCCUACACUCUGGAGAAGCACAUGAGACAUAGUAUGUUAAGCUUUGCUUGACAUUUGAGAAAGCAAAACAUGGAAGUUAUGCUGAGCUUAUAAAAAUGUACCUCUUCAAUUUACCUCUCCAAAUGACUUAAAGACCAUCGACUGUCCGAGCCACCCAGGAGGUAUCCCAUCCACCAGAGCCAGUGAAUUUGGAUCAGUCUGAUUCUAUGUGCUCUAAGCCGAAGGGGACGAGCUUAAAGUAGGCUAUACCUUCAAGAACUGUUGAAAUGCAUCUCCCAUGUAUAACACUGCACUUAUCCAUAAAAUGUUCUCACCGGUCGCUUGUGUUGGACUGCAGGAACAGGGGCAGAACCUAGGGGAUCUGUCUAGCACCCAGAUGUGGAUCCACCUGAUGUCCUCCAUCCACCCUCCAACUUUUCAUUACAUCAUCUACAGCUACUGUUACUGUCAUGUUGGCAUUAUCUGCUAAGAAAGUUUUCAUGCUCUACUGGGCACAUAAUAUGUGAGAUACACAAAUUAAAAACAUUAGCACUGCAAACACUCAGAACAAAGAGAGCAGCAGUGCCUGGACUUUGCAGUGUCCCUCUUCGAGUCCCCCUUCUGAGACUGGCUGCCUGUUGUGAACAAGUCACAGGCAGAACCACGCACCCACCUCCUCUCUAUUCCACACACCAGAAUUCAGUAUUUCAGUCUAUAAUUGCCAUGUGUGUACAAAAAUCUGUGAAAAUAAAUUAA